AGAGUAGCUUGCUACUUUACCUAGCGGCGGACGGGUGAGUAAUGCUUAGGAAUCUGCCUAUUAGUGGGGGACAACAUCUCGAAAGGGAUGCUAAUACCGCAUACGUCCUACGGGAGAAAGCAGGGGACCUUCGGGCCUUGCGCUAAUAGAUGAGCCUAAGUCGGAUUAGCUAGUUGGUGGGGUAAAGGCCUACCAAGGCGACGAUCUGUAGCGGGUCUGAGAGGAUGAUCCGCCACACUGGGACUGAGACACGGCCCAGACUCCUACGGGAGGCAGCAGUGGGGAAUAUUGGACAAUGGGGGGAACCCUGAUCCAGCCAUGCCGCGUGUGUGAAGAAGGCCUUUUGGUUGUAAAGCACUUUAAGCGAGGAGGAGGCUACCGAGAUUAAUACUCUUGGAUAGUGGACGUUACUCGCAGAAUAAGCACCGGCUAACUCUGUGCCAGCAGCCGCGGUAAUACAGAGGGUGCAAGCGUUAAUCGGAUUUACUGGGCGUAAAGCGCGCGUAGGUGGCCAAUUAAGUCAAAUGUGAAAUCCCCGAGCUUAACUUGGGAAUUGCAUUCGAUACUGGUUGGCUAGAGUAUGGGAGAGGAUGGUAGAAUUCCAGGUGUAGCGGUGAAAUGCGUAGAGAUCUGGAGGAAUACCGAUGGCGAAGGCAGCCAUCUGGCCUAAUACUGACACUGAGGUGCGAAAGCAUGGGGAGCAAACAGGAUUA
rnacentral:rRNA from 1 species